rnacentral:other from 1 species
AACUUUUACGAGGUAUCAGCACUUUUCUUUCAUUAGUGGGGAAGGAAGGAUGAGAAAUACAAAGCAGCAGUAGACUUUUAAAGUUUAAAUAGGUCUGAGUGUCUGAACGUGCUCUUCCAUUUUACUUUUACCCUCCAGAGAAGUAUUCUGAUCCAGUUUCACUGCUGAUCAGCACGGGUAAGUUGAAAAG